GAGCUCAGGUGCAUGCAAUGUACCUGAGUGGCUGGAAGAAGUGGAGCCAGGAUCCACCCCUUCCCAGACCUCAUUUAAGAGCUGGCAGUGGAAGGAAGAGUAACUUGCUGGAUGUCCCUGCAUACUAGAGGUCUUUUGAAGAGUUGCAUGAUCACACGCCCACAUAAGAUCUUGGUCAAGCUCAGAUGGCAUUUAGAGGCUGCACAUGACUCCAGGAAUCUGACUAUGCAGAUAAUGGAGAAAUAUAGACCUUCACCAAGUGAGAGCUCAUCCUAAAUAGAUGUGUGAGUGGAUAACGUAGAAGGACUUAUACUUUUCAGCUGUGUAAGAAAUUCUAAGUGCAGUAUAAUGGAUCAAUAAGAAGAAAUUGUGGAUUUGUUUAUUUAUUUAUUGCCUUAGGAAAAAUAAAGUUUUCUUUCCACCUGUAUCUGUGGAAAUAAAACUCCUCACCAGGAUAACCACCAGGUUUUGGAAGCACAAAGACCAGCUGCCUUGUGUCAGAUGAGUCACCCUGGAACACGAGCGAGUGGGGGAAGAAUUCGGAUGCUUUGUACGCACGAUGGCAACUUCUGAAGAUUUAAGUCACUUGUAGAUUCUUAGGAAUCCAAAAUGCAAACAUCCUGGCUUCACCGGAGGCAAAAAGUGCUCCUUACGAAGUGAUGCUUGUGCAAUGUUGGGGAAGAGUCUGGGAAUUCCCCACAGUUUCACGACUCUGGAGAAAGCCAGGCUUGCAGCCAGUAGUAUCUUCCACCAAGGUUUUGAAGUGAUUUUGGCCACUGGGCCACACUUCCCUUUAUGCACGAUGGAGGAGAAAGCUCAGCAUCCCACCCUUACUCAAAAGGAUGCUUUGGAAACAUCUGCUUGGAUGGAGGAUUUUGUUGCCUACAUGCAGGCAACUUGCACCACUCGGUGUUGGCUUCAGACAAGAUGUGAAAGGUGCAUGCCUUACUAGAGCUGUCUUUGGAGGUUGUCAGUGGGAUGACUCUUAACAGCAUCUGGAAUGCAGCUAGUAACUUGCACAGAGGCAAGCUGAUGAAGUCAGAAAUUAAUGCUGCACACUAAGACGAGGUGGGGAAAAAAAAGUGUUUAGAAAACUUAAAAACUGAGGUGGUUGGUUUUAUGGGAGAGAAAAAGAAAAACAAACACAAAAAAAAACCCACCCAGCUGAAGAGGGAAGAGUCUCUCCUAAUGUAUGAAUGUCAGUGCUGAACUCCAAGUCCCAGUGGUUUUUAAAAAUAGAUUAUCCAAACACCUGUGAGGCCUCCUGUGUGCAGAUGGUCCUUUCUCCAGAAGGAGGCAAAGCCAAGUGACCUCUCACAGACCUUACCAGGCAUAUUUUUGUGAUUCCUACAGCCAGCCUGUGGCCCCACGAUGAGAUAUAGGAAAGCCAAUGUGAUGUCACAGGAUGGAGUUUCUGUAUUUCUUGGAGUUGCUUUGUUAAACUGGAGCAACACUGACAUCAGAAAUGAAACAAAAGCUAUGCUAAAAGGGGAUUGGCAGGAUUGCAGGGUCAACCAUCCAAACGAAAGGAAAUGCCAAAAGUCAGACUGCCUUUCUCUUUCCUAGACUAAACUACCUCUUCUUCUCCUUGCUCAUGACGGACUACAUUUUAUUACUCAUAUAGAUUUUCUUUCAUUUUCCUUUCCGUCUCUGUUUGCAAGCACACUGCAACACUCAGUGCUCAACGUGUCAGCUAAUACGACUACCAGAACGGAAGAACUGCUUACAUGUCUUGCAGAGCUUUACUUUGUUUAUACAUCCCAGGACAGCAGAACAUUGCUGACUCACAUUCACAACGUGACUCCUUGCAAACUCCAGCUCCCUUCCCUCUCCCUGUCCCUAGCUAGCCUUCUGUUUUAGGCUGGUUAACCUCACCUAGGCAUGGGUCAUUGUGUUCGUGCCCAAGCGGCAUCCUAUUUUUCCAGUCUGUCUCUCCAAAUUUGCAGUUUGUUUCAGAUUCUCUUCCAGUCUUCUGAUAGGCCCUUUCCUGCCCAGCCCCAGCUAGUGCCAUAUACACAUCUGAUAAGCAAAGUCUGUAUUUAUACAGGUCACCAAUGGAGGUGCCAAAUUGCACUAGAGCCAUGGAGAAUGCAGCACUCUGGAGCCUUCUGCAUCAUGGAAUGGUUUGAGUUGGAGGGGACCCUUAAAGGCCAUCUGGAAUAACUCUCCUGUAAUGAACAGGGAUGCCUACAGCUCAGUCAGGGUGCUAGAUCAAGUUCUGCUUUGGGAACCAGUUGUCUAUGCUUUUUUCUUUCACAA